rnacentral:lncRNA from 1 species
UAUUUUUACUGCUUCAUGUGUGUUUCUUAUAAACAAUGUAUUGUAAGAAGCUGGUUUUUAAUCUAAUGCUAUAUGCUUCAAUUUUCUGGGUCCUGGAAAAUGGUAAAUUCAGGGUACAACUCAGAUAACAGUGGAGAAGCAAUUUCAUCUUGGGAACUAUGAAGCAGAAUUGACUCUUAGAUGAUGAAGAUGCCUAGCUUUUAAAGAGAACUUUGUCUGCAGUUCAGUCUUUGUUAUCCUAUCAGUCAUUUCCUAUGUACACUCAAUGGAAGCCUCUCUAAGGGAAUUAAAGUGGACUAUAAAU